GUUUCCGUAGGUGAACCUGCGGAAGGAUCAUUAUUGUAUAACCGAGGUGCGAGGGCUGUCGCUGACCCGAAAGGUCGUGCACGCCCGAGUGCCCUCACACACAUCCAUCUCACCCCUAUGUGCACCACCGCGUGGGUCCCCCUUUGGCUUGUUCGGAGGGGGGCUUACGUUUUCACACAAACUUUGUAUGCAGUAUAGAAUGUAUUUUUUGUUUUUGCGAUCACGCAAUCAAUACAACUUUCAACAACGGAUCUCUUGGCUCUC
rnacentral:misc_RNA from 1 species